GAGGGAGCCUACCACGCAUGCGCGCUCCCGCCACGCUUCCCUUCGGCGUCUGGAGAACGGGCCUCCUGCGGGUCCUAAUUUCAUCCUGAAGGCAGCUUCGGCUUCUGUCUGAAGAUCUCCGCUGGGUAGAAAGGGUAGCCGACUUUCUCCGGUCAUCUCACAAGCGGGAGUUUGAGGGUUCAUCACCAGGAAAACCAGUAUGUAUGAACGCCGGAAAUGCAGAUGGCAGUCUCAGAAACGCUUAUGCUAAAUGGGAAUCCAACUACAAGAUUUCUCUCUAUUGUUUGUGAUAGCCACCCCAUGAUGGAAAUAGUCUGGCUGUAAAACGAUUUUUCAAAAGAAAAAGAAACAACUGUGGGAAGAUUGCAAAGUUCUCUAGACAAACCUUCAAGUGACUCUUUUAAGUAAGGAAACGUUUAUCGAAGGGUCAGAGUGGUUAGGAAAACUACUAUGCCAGGAGCCAGGAUCAGUCUUGCCGGAGCGACCGAGAUUGUCCCAGGAGGUAGGCCAGAGAAUGAUGAAAAAGGAAAUUGUAGGUUUUACAGUCAGAACUCUCAACUACACAGCAUAGAAAUGAUACAGGAUCAAAGCAGCCCAUGGAAUUGCACACCACUUCCACAACCCCUCUCACACCAGGCCCUGCCACUGAUGGUCUCCCCACAGACCCUUGUGGCUGGAAUCUUCUCACUGAGUGGAAGUCCUCGUGACUGGGAUGCCAGCAAGCUGGCUCCAACAUAGAUAAGUUUCACGAUGUCCACACGAUCAUGAGAAAUUCACACAAUAUUGUUAUCCCCAAGGGUAGAGAGUGCAGAGAGGUAUCCUGUCACUCGUACUCUGUCAUCCAUCUAGUCAUGGGGUUGAUGAGCAAAUCUACAACCUUUGCAGAUGUCCAAUCAGGGUACUAAGGUGAUGCUCCUCCUAUAGCAGCACCCUUAGUCUAUGGCUUUGCCUUUAAAAAUAUUUUUAUACAUAAAAUAUAUCAUUCAUAAUAACGUAUAUGCACAAUUUAAUGAACAAUAAUAAAAAUAAUAAAAGUAACUGCCGUGCAUUUACCAUUUUGAGAAUUAAAACAUUUCCCAGUACCUCAGCUGUCUCUGAGUAUGCUCUCUGAUUCUGGAUUUUGUAUUAAUGCAUUCUUAUAUAUUAAAAGAAAUUCCUAGCACCUGUAUACUGCGUUUAUUUUCUAUUGCUGACAUAGUAAAUUACCACAAACUCGUGGCUUAAAAAAUACGAAUACAUUAUCUUACAAUUCUGUAGGUUUCGGUUAUGACAUGGAUUUCACUGACUCUAAAAUCAAAGUUUUAAUAGGGCUGCAUUUCUUUCUAGACGCUCUAGGGGAGAGUCCAUUCUCUUGCCUAGUUUCUAGAGACCACCUGUUAUGAAACGCACGUCCAUGGGCCCAGCGCACAGUGAGGCCAAAGAAACCAAAACGUCGGAGUUUGGAGCAGAGAAAGGUUUAUUGCAGGGCCGUGCAAGGAGACAGUGGCUCAUGCCUUAGAAACCCUGAACUCCCCGAAAGCUUUCAGCAAAGCUCUUUUGCGGGAAAGGUGAGGAAGGGGCGUGGUUAGUUGUUGCAGACUCCUUGGUGUCAGACCCUUUGUUCUUGAGGUCAGGUCAAGGUCAAGUCAUGAUGUUCCUGUAAACCUCCACCAAAACAAAUGUUAUUCUCUGUUCUGACAAAAAGGGCAAGGUCCCAAGGCUCAACUGUCGCCCUCCAAGGUCCAGGUCCUGGCUAAGAAGAGGGGGUCCCUGCAAGUGCCGGUUACCCUGCCCAGGAGAGGUCAUCCAGCACCCAGUCUGCAUCCUCCCGCCAGUGCUGAGGCCCAGCUGAAGAGGCAGAUCUCAGUUGCCGGCUCCCUCAGGGCCAGGUCCCCAGACCCUGCCCAGCCGUCAUCACUGAGGGAGCCAGGCGUCCAGGACCCCGCUGGCCCUCAGGCUUCUCGGGUAGCCCAAAUGCAGGCUGGGUUGCACGGACUGAGACCCAUGGAGACGGCCACUACCAUCAGGUCACAGAGCUGGGGCUGGGGAAGAGGUUUGCUGCUGCUUCAAGGUCUGGGCCCAGCCCGUGGAUUGCUGUGGCCAGGCCUCCGGAGCCCUGCAGGACACAGCCUCCCGCCUGUCCCCGGGGUCCCCCAGCUCGCCCGCCAACCCGAGGCCAGAGGGCCUGGAGGGCCCCGGGGGGAACCCCGAUCCGCCUCUCACCACACUAUCUGCCGUGAGGACCCCUGCAAGGCUGACAGUUGGCAGAAAAGGACCUCCAACCGCUGCACUAGGGUCCCCGCCCCUAUUACACCUCCACAUUCCUUGGCUCGUCGUCUUCUUACAUCUUUUUUUUUUUUUUUUUUUUUUUUUUGCGGUACGCGGGCCUCUCACUGCUGUGGCCUCUCCCGCUGCGGAGCAC